CUGAAUUGACUACAGGGGAAAAUAAUUGGGGGAAAGAGCGAUGAGGAAAGUGGGGGAGGAAAUGUCUCCCUCAGAUGCAAAGGCAUUUCCCUUCCCUUCCCUCCCCUUCGCCCCGGCUUACAUUUUCUGCACGGGUUUCCGCCGCUUGCGGCUGGCGUAGGUGACAUUGGGGUUCAUCCUCCUGCUGCUCCCGCUGCUCCCGCCGCGGCUCCAGCGCCUCCGGCCUCAAGAGAUUGUUAUUUGUGUGUGUCAAAUGUAUACGCUUCAAAACACACACACCAAAAGCACCCCACCCCACCCCCCCACCCCCUUUGAGGCCUCCCACCAGCGAGUGGUAAAGGCAGAAUCUCCUCAGAGAAGAAGCAGGUCGCGCGGCCCGGCCUCCUCCGCCCCGCCGUCAAUCCCACUCCAGAGUCCCUUCUUCGGCUGAGAGGAAGGGAGGGAGGAGGGGAGCCAGGUGCUUGGCGCCGGCAACACCCACUCGUCGCCGCCGUCGUCGUCCUCCUCGCUCCGUUUUCGGGGCGGAGAGACAGGUGCGGAGGCGGCCACUCCGUCCCUCCUCCUUCUCCUCAGAGAGAGAGAGAGAAGCCUCCCUUCUCUUCCUUUCCCGUCAGCACAGCCGCCGUCCUCAGGGAGGAAGGAGGGCCUCGCCUCACGCACAGGCGCUCCCUCCGUUUAUUCGCUCUUUCUGCCUCGGUCUCAGCGUCGGGAGCCGAGCCUUCGCUCUCCUUGCAGGCCCGGCCCACCGCCCACCGAGCAGCAGCAGCAGCAGGAGGAGGAGGCCUCGGUGGGGAGGCGCCGGGAGGCGUCAAGGGGGCGGCGCGGCGCCAUGUUGGGAAGAGUGGGUAUGAAUGCCAAGAAGCCAGGCUGUGA
rnacentral:lncRNA from 1 species